AUGAUCUUAAUGCUUGCCAUGUUCCCGCAAAUACACAUCCAAGUCAUGCAUACCUAUAGUUGUAGGAUAUCCGAGAAGUGUAUUGAUGGUAUUGCGGCUGAAACUGAUUUCCCUUCCUCUAACAAAAGUCUUGAAAUUGAAUCUCUCUCCCUCCAGUUGAAUAGCAUUUGCAUAAAAUUCCCGAAUAACCUCAAAGUUUAUUCGAUCAACCGAAGUGAGAGGACGACCCCAAUUCUUGAGAUUGAAAAUAUUUGCAAUCUUUCCAUAUUGUCCAUGAGUGUCAAAUGUGAACUUCCUUUCCGCAAGUAUCUUUUUCUUAUCCAUUACCGCCAUUAG